GACAGAGGGUGCAAACGUUGUUCGGAAUUACUGGGCGUAAAGCGCGCGUAGGCAGCAGUGUGUGUCGGGCGUGAAAUCCCAUGGCUCAACCGUGGAAGUGCACUCGAAACUGCGCAGCUAGAGUCUCGGAGAGGAAGGCGGAAUGCUUGGUGUAGAGGUGAAAUUCGUAGAUAUCAAGCGGAACACCGGUGGCGAAGGCGGCCUUCUGGGCGAUGACUGACGCUGAGGCGCGAAAGCGUGGGGAGCAAACAGG
rnacentral:rRNA from 1 species